rnacentral:rRNA from 1 species
CGCGCAGGCGGUCGUUCAAGUCGCGUGUGAAAGCCCCCGGCUCAACUGGGGAGGGUCACGCGAUACUGAUCGACUCGAAGGCAGGAGAGGGUAGUGGAAUUCCCGGUGUGUGGUGAAAUGCGUAGAUAUCGGGAGGAACACCAGUGGCGAAGGCGACUACCUGGCCUGUUCUUGACGCUGAGGCGCGAAAGCUAGGGGAGCAAACG